UGGGGUAGUUCAGUUGGUAGAUCAUGAGACUCUUAAAUCUCAGGUCAUGGGUUUGAGCCUCACACUGGGCAAAA